GUAGGGAAUCUUCCGCAAUGGGCGAAAGCCUGACGGAGCAACGCCGCGUGAGUGAUGAAGGGUUUCGGCUCGUAAAACUCUGUUAUUAGGGAAGAACAAAUGUGUAAGUAACUGUGCACAUCUUGACGGUACCUAAUCAGAAAGCCACGGCUAACUACGUGCCAGCAGCCGCGGUAAUACGUAGGUGGCAAGCGUUAUCCGGAAUUAUUGGGCGUAAAGCGCGCGUAGGCGGUUUCUUAAGUCUGAUGUGAAAGCCCACGGCUCAACCGUGGAGGGUCAUUGGAAACUGGGAAACUUGAGUGCAGAAGAGGAAAGUGGAAUUCCAUGUGUAGCGGUGAAAUGCGCAGAGAUAUGGAGGAACACCAGUGGCGAAGGCGACUUUCUGGUCUGUAACUGACGCUGAUGUGCGAAAGCGUGGGGAUCAAACAGGA
rnacentral:rRNA from 1 species